AGUGAACGCUGGCGGUAGGCCUAACACAUGCAAGUCGAACGGCAGCACAGUAAGAGCUUGCUCUUACGGGUGGCGAGUGGCGGACGGGUGAGGAAUACAUCGGAAUCUACUUUUUCGUGGGGGAUAACGUAGGGAAACUUACGCUAAUACCGCAUACGACCUACGGUUGAAAGCAGGGGAUCUUCGGACCUUGCGCGAUUGAUUGAGCCGAUGUCGGAUUAGCUAGUUGGCGGGGUAAAGGCCCACCAAGGCGACGAUCCGUAGCUGGUCUGAGAGGAUGAUCAGCCACACUGGAACUGAGACACGGUCCAGACUCCUACGGGAGGCAGCAGUGGGGAAUAUUGGACAAUGGGCGCAAGCCUGAUCCAGCCAUACCGCGUGGGUGAAGAAGGCCUUCGGGUUGUAAAGCCCUUUUGUUGGGAAAGAAAAGCAGCAGGUUAAUACCCCGCUGUUCUGACGGUACCCAAAGAAUAAGCACCGGCUAACUUCGUG
rnacentral:rRNA from 1 species